CUACAAUAUAAAUCUGGUGCCAUACAGAACUCAUGAAUAGAUUUUUGUUUUCUUCCAGCAAGUGGAUUUCACUGCAGAUGCAUCUGCAUCUCUUGUAAGCAGGAUGGGAUUUCUUGAAUAGCAGUGUCCAAGGCUAUGAUUCUCUACCCUGUGCUACCUUGUGCUCUGGUAGCAAGUCAGAGCAGCUGCAACCCUCCUCAACUUUCUUUUACUUCCCAUGGCCAUGGGACAGAACCUAGUGAAUGUCUGACCUGCUAGUCUUUAGCUCCGGCUAAAAUUCUGUACAGCUUAUCUAUUUCACCUAUAGAAGACCUUGGCAAAUAAAGUGGGUCCGUGCGAGCAGAUUUCUAAAUCAGACUGUCUAGUACACACUAUUUUCCUCAGCUUUAGCCUGCUGACUUCAAGCCCUGUCCUCCAUGAGGUGGAUCAAUCUGCCUUAAGGAUGCACACAGCAAAUGCAUCUUCUCAAGCAAGAGUCAUAUACUGAAUAGAUUCUCAGUACACCAGUAAUCUCCAUUGAGAAUUCAUGAGUUGACUACGGACUGAAUUCACGAGCACUUGUUUUGAGCAAUCUAUGAAGGGGAGACGGGCAUCAGAACUACCAGACAAAGCAACACCUGAGUAUCCCAUCUAGCAAAUAUGAAGAACUUAAAACCCAGAACAAAAAGGUAUCAUAGCACCAGACAAAUGGCUGAUGCCAGGCAGCAAAAUCAGUAUCGCAUUUCCAGCACUGAAGUCUGGCACCAAAAAAAUACACUAAAAAUUGACACCAACCCUAGUUGGAGCUCAGUUGUUACUUUUGUAUAGGAAGAUGCAAAGACCUUCAGGAAGAAAACAUGAACCCCAAAUUGAAUCAAAGGCACAGAGGACCUUCCCUAACAGUGCUCCCCUGGUACAGUCAUCAGCAUCAGCACCUACAACAUAGACAUUUAAUGCUGCUAGAUAUAUCUUUGGAGUGACCUGGAUAGACCUUGGUACAGAGACGGUUACCAGUAGAGAUGGAGACCUCUUCUGAGAGCACUCUCUGUCUCAGCACUGUCCCUACAGGAAAUGGAUUUUUCCUCUCAAACCACUGGGGCACUCAUUCUCUGCUGGACAAUGAUGAGAACCCUCUGCCUUAUGAUCUGUAGGCAAGACUGCAGAAAGGCUAAAUGGCGCAUCUAAUUUCAGGAAGAAAUUGAAGUUGUGUUCCACAGUUAUGUCCCUUGUCAAGGAGCAAUACCAGAUGGAAAGUCGAGAAAUGCUGGAUCUGGGACUUGAGGAGCCUACAGCAGUAACCUGUGUCCCAAACCAGGGGCUUUUUCACCUUUAUCACCUGUAUGAGUAGUAACACUGGCACAAAUGCAGGCACUUAAUUUCUUCAAGUAAUUUCUAGAGCUACUUGUGAGAUUUGCUGAUUCUUUUUCUUAACAGGCAUGAAAUCUAUUUACUCAUUCAAUGUACUGACAAGUUGAAACAGCAUUGCCUCCUAAGGAACAAAUGACUACUUGACCCUGCCAAAAACUGGCUAUGAUAACACCCAUCACAAAGAAAGUAGAGAAGCAACAUGAACUCCUUUAAAAAGGGUUUAAAAUAUCUUGUAUCCAACCCAUCUACCUGUAUGUACAUGCCUGGCUCAUCAGAUGUGUACAUAUUGCACAUCCUCUCCAUGUGCUCCUAGGGAUCAGAGGAUAGUUGAACUUAUCCAUUAUAUACUAGCUCACAAGAGUCAUGAUCAACUCAACCCACAGAAACCUACCUCUAAAAAAA